ACAGCCACAUCAGGUUAAAACCCCAGUUCCUGUACGAUAGCCGAAGUUAAGCAACGUCGAGCCUGGUCAGUACCUAGAUGGAUGACUACUUGGGAAUACCAGGUGUUAUAA